rnacentral:lncRNA from 1 species
UCUUAAUCUUGAUUCAGUGCAUAAGCUUUUCACUGGCCAAGAGAUAACUAUUGUCAACAGUUCCAGUUUGAUGUCUAGUGAGACAGAUAGAGAGAGAUAUGCCAAGAUAGUAAAUCACGGCAUUUCUGUAUGUCUGACUAUGGAAUAUUCUUCAGAAAUCACUGAGACCAUUUAUUUUAUAUUGGAAUUUCAUCUUGAUCUAAGAUCCAUCAACUUCAGUAGGAUUGCUUGGAAAUGGAUGAUAACUGAAAUUUGCUGUCAACUUAGAAACUUCAUCUGUGAUCACUAUUAUCACCUCCUCAUCGCCAAACCUCAAACCAAAGCUGUGCCCUCUGAAUCCAGUUGUGACGGAGUUUCACUCUUGUUGCCCAGGAUCUCGGCUCACCGCAACAUCCACCUCCCGGGUUCAAGCGAUUCUCCUGCCUCAGCCUCCC